rnacentral:rRNA from 1 species
CAAACGACUCUCGGCAACGGAUAUCUGGGCUCUCGCAUCGAUGAAGAACGUAGCGAAAUGCGAUACUUGGUGUGAAUGGCAGAAUCCCGUGAACCAUCGAGUCUUUGAACGCAAGUUGCGCCCGAAGCCAUUAGGCCGAGGGCACGUCUGCCUGGGCGUCACGC